GAAACGACUCUCGGCAACGGAUAUCUCGGCUCUCGCAUCGAUGAAGAACGUAGCAAACUGCGAUACCUGGUGUGAAUUGCAGAAUCUUGUGAACCAUCGAGUCUUUGAACGCAAGUUGCGCUCGAAGCCACUAGGCCGAGGGCACGUCUGCCUGGGCGUCACGC
rnacentral:rRNA from 1 species